GUUUGAUUAGCUCAGUCUGGUAGAGCAGUUGACUUAUAAUCAAUGCGUCACAGGUUCAAAUCCUGUAUCAAACUCCC
rnacentral:tRNA from 1 species